rnacentral:lncRNA from 1 species
GAAAGAGAAUGACUGAAGGAAGCAGCAGAGCAUUGUUCAUUUCAGAUUCUGAAAAAAGGAUGAAGAGAGUGAAGGUUCAGCUGAUUAACUGUUAAGUUAGGACGAAAGAGGCUAAGGUUCUAAACUUCGUUGUGCUCUAAGGCUGCACUUUUGUAUAACAGGUCUGUUUUAUUAAAAUUAAAGUUGAACUUUGUUUUUUAAAAUAUAUGUAGUGAUCAACUGAUAAAAAUUGAAAUUUCAUUGUCGGAUUUUAUUUUUAACUCCUCAUACAACUAUUUCUUCUCUACAGGAAUUUGUCACUGAAGAGAAUUGUG